AUGCAUGUCUAAGUUCAUAUUGCCUAUAAUGGUGAAACCGCGAACGGCUCAUUACAACAGCUAUUAUUUACUUGAUUUUGAUUCCAUACGUGGAUAACUGUGGCAAUUCUAGAGCUAAUACAUGCACCAAAGCUCCGACUAUCUGACGAGCGCAUCUAUUAGAUAAAAAACCAAUCGGGACUCAUCCUGUAGUCUCGUCCAUUUGGUGACUCUGAAUAGCUUAGCUGAUCGCAUGGUCCCGUACCGGCGACAUAUCUAUCAAGUAUCUGCCUUAUCAACUUUCGAUGGUAGUUUAUAUGACUACCAUGGUUGUAACGGGUAACGGAGAAUAAGGGUUCGACUCCGGAGAGGGAGCCUGAGAAACGGCUACCACUUCCAAGGAAGGCAGCAGGCGCGCAAAUUACCCACUCUCAGCACAGAGGAGGUAGUGACGAAAAAUAACGAGACCGUACUCGAUGAGGCCGGUUAUCGGAAUGGGUACAAUUUAAACCCGUUAACGAGGAUCUAUGAGAGGGCAAGUCUGGUGCCAGCAGCCGCGGUAAUUCCAGCUCUCAAAGUGUAUAUCGGCAUUGCUGCGGUUAAAAAGCUCGUAGUUGGAUUUCAGCCUUACGACGUGGUCCAUUCAUUGAAUGCGAACUACGCCUCGUAGGCUAUUUUAAUGUUGGUUUUUCCUUACGUUGCUCUCAUCGGCUGCGUAAGGUGGCUAACGAGUUUACCUUGAAAAAAUUAGAGUGCUCAACGCGGGCUAACGCCUGAAUACUCGUGCAUGGAAUAAUGGAAUAGGAUCUCGGUUCUAUUUUGUUGGUUUUCUGAUCUGAGAUAAUGGUUAAGAGGGACAGACGGGGGCAUUCGUAUCGCUGCGUGAGAGGUGAAAUUCUUGGACCGUAGCGAGACGUCCCACUGCGAAAGCAUUUGCCAAGAAUG
rnacentral:rRNA from 1 species